rnacentral:lncRNA from 12 species
UUGGGGUUUAAAACUGACAGAAUCUGCUGCUGACUUGUAAGGUGGGGAGGUAUUAACUCCUGAGAAGGGGGAACAAAAGGCAAGGAUUGCGAUCCUGCGAGAAAAGACAAGGAGCAUUGCGAGUAGAGGUGGGCUGGUCCAGAGGGGGGGUUAAGGAUAUUCACCGAGUGCUUUGAGAUGAAACAUGCUGUGUGUUCGCAAAGGUGUCUGUCAGUCAAGUGGGGGAGCAACAUUGUGACAACCUCUCUUCCAGGAGCAGCAAAGACCAAGAUUUUAUUCCCUGCAAAGCCAGCCAAGAAAUUACCGAAAUGGCUGUUUUAACAGUCAAAGCUAACAGGGAGAGAACAAAAGAACUCCAGAUGCACGUACACACACAUCCAUCCAUCUAUCCAUGUCCUCCUUUGGCCUCCAACUUCCACUUAAAGAAAGUCUCUUACAUUGGAACUGGAAGAGAACCCCCGUAUACAUCUGAAUCCUUAAUGAGCAGCAUGUCCAUCCCCGCAUAUGGCCAGCACAAUUAG